rnacentral:misc_RNA from 1 species
GAAAUGCGAUAACUAGUGUGAAUUGCAGAAUUCAGUGAAUCAUCGAAUCUUUGAACGCACAUUGCGCCCGUCAGCAUUCUGGCGGGCAUGCCUGUUCGAGCGUCAUUUCAACCCUCAGGACCCCCCUUUCGCGGGGAGGGACCUGGCGUUGGGGAUCGGCCCGCCCCCCGUGGCGGCGCCGUCCCCGAAAUCUAGUGGCGGUCUCGCUGCAGCCUCCCCUGCGUAGUAGUUACAACCUCGCAUCGGAGCGCGGCGCGGCCACGCCGUAAAACCCCCGACUUUCUGAACGUUGACCUCGGAUCAGGUAGGAAUACCCGCUGAACUUAAGC